CACGUAGGGGACGAGCGUUGUCCGGAUUCAUUGGGCGUAAAGCGCGCGUAGGCGGCUCGGAAAGUCGGUCGUGAAAUGCCGGGGCUCAACCCCGGGACUGCGUCCGAUACUCUCGAGCUGGAGGCAGGUAGGGGAGAUCGGAAUUCCUGGUGUAGCGGUGAAAUGCGUAGAUAUCUGGAGGAACACCGGUGGCGAAGGCGGCAUCCUGGACCGGCAUUGACGCUGAGGCGCGAAAGCCAGGGGAGCAAACAGG
rnacentral:rRNA from 1 species